ACACAGGGAAGACCUGUGACCCAGAAGGUAUAAUUUCUGAAUUGGAGAGUUUCAAAGUUACAAUGGAAAAGCUGCAACAAGAGCUUUCUUUUUGACAGAAAUCCAGAAAAGAUGUGCUGCUUCCUACCAGCCCCCUCUGGCCAGGGCCUAUCAGCAGCACCAAAUGAGCGCGACAGAGGCCCACCUCUGAGAUGGCAUCUUCCCAGCCACUCGCAGGAGCCAAUCAUAUCAUCGCAAUGGAAACCUGCAGCUCCAGAUAAUGUCACUUGGCCCCAAACACUGUACAGUGUGUGCCUUUCCUGUCUUCCUGAGAAAGUUGAGGUUGAGCUGCUGAGCCUGACCCUUGAAAAGCCUUUGGAAUUCCUCCCGACACAGACUAGAUAAGGGAUUUAUUUUUAAUUGGAAAUUUUAAGGCGUUUACUUUACCAUCCCUUAUUUGGUGCACAGAUCUAGCUAUUUCACGGAGAUUUCAGCUCUGCCAAUGAGCGGGAGCUGAUACCUUUCCUCAGAAAAUCUGGUUGGGGGUGGUCAGCAGAAGAUUCAACAAGACAUGAACAAGGGAAGUUCUUGCCUAGACCCACCCAGAGAAAACCCCAGAGAAGAGCGCUGAGCACUCAUUUCAUCAUGAAGCUUCAAGAGCAGAGAAGUGCUUUUAACACAAAUGAAUACCGUCCAGUGCCCAACAGAAGCAGGAGGAUUCUUCUCCCAACUCCUACUGCAGCCCCUGCUCUAAGGAUCUGGCUUCUUCCCAGGCAGCUUCCUCUCUUGAUGCUGUUCUCGGCCCUGCAGACACCCACCGGGAGUUCUGAGGUUGCAGUUAACAUCGACUUUGACUUGACACCAGAUUCCUUUGAUGAUCAGUACCAAGGCUGCAGCCCACAGGUCAUGGAGAAGCUAAAUCAAGGGGAUUAUUUUGCAAAAGAACUAAAAGCACAUAGGAAUUAUUCUAGGAUCUGGGCAAACGCCCACUUAACCUGGUUGAACAGAGCAGAAGAUCUCCCCAGGAGCAUGAAUAUUACACAUGCUGUGGCCAUCCUGGCUUAUACAUCAAACAACAUUGUCCGCACAGAUUUUACUAGAGCCAUGGCCACUGCUGGCAGGUCCCCACAGCAGUAUAAACACUCAUUCCAUUUCAAAUACCUCCACUACUACCUGACUUCAGCAGUCCAGCUGCUAAGGGAAGAAAUGAUCCUGAUGAAUGGCUCUUCAUGUUAUGAGGUACAUCAUGAGAUGAAGGGUAACUAUUUGAAAGCCAACAGAGGGGCCACCAUCCGAUUUGGCCAGUUCCUCUCCACUUCCCUCCUACAAGAAGAGGCACAGAAGGUUGGGAACCAAACUCUACUCACCAUAUUUACCUGCCUGGGAGUGCCUGUACAAGAAUUCUCUCUCAGGAAGGAAGUCCUGGUCCCUCCCUAUGAGGUGUUCAAAGUUGUAAAUAUGAGCUACCACCCUCAAGGAAAUUGGUUGCAAUUGCAGUCAGCUGGGAACCUGAGCACAUACAACUGUCAGCUGCUAAAAGGUUCUGGCAAAAAGUACAAUCCUGCUCCUAUGGUUAUUGCUUGUCUCUCCUUUUUGACCAGUGUUGUCAUCUCUUCCAAAAGUGGAGUAUAAAUGAAACUUGUGGUUUUGCUUUUGCUGUGCCCUUUUGCUUGAUGCCAGCCAGGGCACCCUGAAUACCCUUGGGGACUCACUCUGCCUGGUUAUCAACUGAUGUAGCGCUGGCUCAGCCUACUGCCUGUGAGUGGACCUAGAACUCAGUGUAUUUCUUCUUCAUGGACACAGAUUUAUCCUGGGAUAGAAAAGGACCCAAUCAAAGCUGUCACACAGAGAGAGAGAGAGAGAGGCAGAGGCACAGGCAGAGGGAGAAGCAGGCUCCAUGCACCGGGAGCCCGACGUAGGAUUCGAUCCAGGGUCUCCCGGAUCACGCCCUGGGCCAAAGGCAGGCGCCAAACCGCUGCGCCACCCGGGGAUCCCCAUGUGUGUGGUUUUAAAGGAGAAGAUAUGGGAGAAAAAAAUCUGAUAACCAAGCAAAUAUCAAAGAUAUAUCAAGUCCCCACUAUGUGACAACAAUUAAACAAACGGAAGUAUAAAUCACCAAACCUCACAGCUGGGAAUAUUCUCUUACUUCCCUCAGGGGGUGACAGGGGUUGUUCUCCUGAUUUCCAAAGACCCUAGUAUUGGGCUAAAUGGAGUAAAGGGGGAGACUAGAUCUAUCCUUUGAGUUAUGAAAGUCUAUGCUACUUAGCCCCCCUGAGAUUUGAGUAAUAAACAAUGAAAGUGAAAUCAGUUCAUCUGACCCCAGUAGGAAUGUCUAAAGGGAUGGUGUCUUGACAGAAGAGACACAAUGGGGAGUUAGCUGCAUAAAAUCACCCAGUAGAGAAUUUAGGCAUCUAGUACUGUCAUUAUUUACAUGGCAUUUUGAGAAUAGGGCCAAGGGCAUCUCUAUCAUCUAGCUUACAUUGGCCUCUACACCAAAUAAGGCAAGCAUAUAAUUUCCAUAGACACAGUUUACAUGAUUUAUUGCCCAGGGACCUUGGCAAGUUAGUAGCUCCUGAGUAGAGAAUUCUGUGGGCCUGGCUCUGGGAACAAGCUUUGCUCUGAGCUUUAGUGAGGCAGAGAAAAGCCUCCCAACAUCUUGCAUAUUUUGUUUCUGUGCCAUAUAGAUGCACUUAUUGAGCCAGACUAUGUACAAAACACUUUGGGGAUUAAAUGUUGAAUGUAAUAUGCCAGAUCUUCCAAGAGUUUACAGUCUCUUGGGAGAAAUUAAGAACACAAACAAGUCACAGAGGAAUACCAAAAGAAAGGGGCAAGUCAAGUUUUCUGUUCACAAGAGUUCAAGAGAGAAACUCCUGAGGCAAGGGAAGAACCAAUAAGGCUUCAGGGAAGAGGCAGCAUUUGAGCAAGGCCUUGGGACACUGAGGUGGGAGCGAGAGAUGAGAGGAAGAAGACAGUGAGUGUAGGUAUGUGUCAAACGCUUAGAGCCAAAAUGCAUACAAAUAGUAAGUACUUCAAAUUUAGAGAAAAGUGAGAUCCCACUGUCCUAUGGUUGGAAACAGCUUUCUAUGGGAAAUGAGGCUCAAGGGAAGGCUUCAGAGGGAAAAGAGAGAGCUGAGUAGAAAGGAAACAGAGGAUAUAGGAAUGAUCAGUGUACAUAAGGGUCAGGAAAUAGGUGUGACAGAGUGAAGCUGUAAUGUGGACUGGAGAGGAAAUUGCCACCCAAGCUAAAAAGUCAGCCUAAUGCAUUGGAUCUUCAUGAGAAAUCCAUUUUCUGAGUAAGACAUUCUAGAUAAAUGACUCUUACAGCCACAGCAUCAGUGUCCCUUAAGAACUUGUUAGAAAUUUGAAGUCUGGAGCCUGAUCCCAAAUCCGUAGAAUCAGAAACCCAGGGCCUGUGUUUAAGAAGCCCUUCAGGCUUAUGACUUAUGGGAUUAUGAUCCAUAAAGGAAUAACCAGGUUUUUGAAAAGAUAACUUAAUUCUUCCUCCUGCUGCUGCUUUAUAGGGCAAAUCUCCAGAGAUCGAAGUUAUUCUCUUGAGUGGUAUAGAUUUGUGGGUUGAGGAUGAAUAUUCAUAUUUUACAUUCCCUCAAUCUCUCCCUAUAGUCCUAAAUUUUUGUGCAAGUAGCCAGUGAAAUGGACAUUUAUUUAAAUCAAUUCAAAGUUCAUGAAAUCUUAGGAGAUGAGUUUCAAAAAAAAUUCACUGUAAUUUCUGCUUUUAGUCUGAGAUAUCUUUGAAGAUAAAAUGGAUAAAUUCACAUGGAUUGCUAAAAGGGCUGACACUAAAGUUGCAUAGUAUUCAUCUCCUAUAGUAACUUUUAUUAAUGCUUCUCCCUUCUUGUGCACAUGAAAAAAUAAUCUGGCUUCACUUGUUUUAUUUUUAUCUUUAUGAUUCAAUGUUCUUUUUUAAAAAAAGAUUUUAUUUAUUUAUUCAUAAGAGACACAGAGAGAGAGGCAGAGACACAGGCAGAGGGAGAAGCAGGCUCCAUGCAGGGAGCCCGAUGCGGGACUCAAUUCCAGGACUCCGGGAUCAGGCCCUGAGCCAAAGGCAGAUGCUCAACCACUGAGCCACUCAGGUGUCCCUUUGAUUCAGUGUUCUAAUAUGCCUAUCUGAUUGUCCCAAAGUUCCCUAUUUGCUCUCACUUUAAAAAAUAAUAAAUCCAGUGAAAGAAAAUUCCUAUAGAGCUUGAUUUGCUUAGAGAGCCAGGACUCUUGGCCUGAGUUGUCCAAUGAUCUGAAUCAAAUUGAAUUAUAGUUUAUGAACCAGAUCUUCAUUUGGUAAAAUUGAACAUUUAUUGAGCUAGAUGCUUUCAGAGAUGCCAAAAUGUACAAAACAUUGGCAAGUGAUAGAACAUGGGAAAAAAAGGUAUUACAAGCAUUACAGGACUCCCUCACUGGCUUCCUUAUCUUCUUGUGGUAAAUGCCCAUGUGUUUUUUAUUUUGCUUUAUGGCAGUUCACUUUUUCUUCCUCACUUAUGCUUCAUUCAAGCAGUGAGGUCACACUGUGCUCGCGGAGGAAGAAUGAAACUAGAUAGAAAGUAGAAACUAGUGAGUCUUCCCCCAGGUUGCUUUUCAAAACCUGAAGGAAUUGACAGCAACGAGAAGAACCCAAAAUAAAGAAUCUGAAAGACACAUGCAAUAAGAGUAAUAGGUUUGAGAAGAGUGCAUUCCCCCCCAAACCCCCAGUAUAUCCACCGGCUGGAAGCAACAGCAGACAGGCAGUCAUCAGAGUAGGCAGAUUAGAAGUCCUUGGUGGUGAGACAAGGCCUUUGAGAGGCCCUGUCAGUGAUGGCCAGCUUCACAGGAGCCACCUGCCUCUGAAAACCCCUGCUGUGACUGAAGUAUGUAUGGCCCUUCCUAACCUCACAGGGCUAUACUAGCUGCCAUUCCCAUUGAAGUGUGGUGAAGACCCCCCCACUUGAACUGCCACUAGUCAUGCUUCCUGUCAUUUCAUAGGAAGACUCUGCCCAGGACUAUUCCUGGCCCUUGUCCCAUUCAUUUCCAGAUGACUCCCCCAGCUGUUGCAAUAUCCCUGGACAGUCUAACGACCAAGAGCAGGCAAGUGAGGACCUGAACACACACAGGUUCAGAGAAAGUAACAAAGCGAGAGCUCCACCUCCCUUCUCCCACUUAUAUACGUUUAUUUUUGAGGACAGAGUAGCAAAUGAAUCAGAGUUCAAGAAUGUCCUCAAAAUAAGCCAGCUAGAGGAUCACCUGGGUGGCUCAGUGGUUGAGCACCUGCCUUCGGCUCAGAGUGUGAUCCUGUGGUCCUGGGAUCGAGUCCUACAUCAGGACUAUGUCUGCCUGUGUCUCUGCCUUUCUCUCCAUGUCUCUUAUGAAUAAAUAAAUACAAUCUUAAAAAAAAUAAUAAGCCAUCUACUAAUGGAUACCUAUUUCAAAUGCGCAAGGUUUCAGCUUUGGAGCUGAGAGAUAAUGUAGAGUUCACGUCUUGAAACUCAUCCUUUUCUCAAGCCCUCUAAGUCCUGAAACUUUCAAAUCCCCUUGGCUCUUGCCACAGGACAUUCUGAAGGUCUUCCUGUUUAGGGGGCAAGGAAGAGAUUCCUAAUUCAAAAUUACAGUGGUGAUUCCAAUGACAGCCUUGGCUUUGGGAGCUGAGCUCCUAACUCAGGCUAGCAAAAAUGCAACUUCAAAGUAUCCACAACUGAGGAGGUCAUGGUGGCAACCUUGGUGGAUGUGACUGCAUCGUAGACUUCAAAGUACAUAAACAGAGUGUCUUCUUCCCCAACUCCAUCAAAUGCUCACAGUUUUUUUUUUUUCUCUUUCAGUUUUUCAUAUUUCAGCCUAGUUUUUAAGUGUAGGGAAAUAUAUUUUAUUUGUAGAGGAGAAAAUGAGAUUUCAAACUUGAGAUGAGAACAUGUUUGAAUGAGGACAAACCUUAGGUAUUCUCAGAAGAAAAAUUCCAAGAAAGAACUAGAGUUAUUCAUUGCUUUUUUAAAAUUCUCAACAAAGUUCCUGUUAGGUAUCAUGUAGAAUAGGGCCAUCUUGAAAGCAUACACUCUUUCCCAUAGAUAAGGGCCAAAGACUUUCUGGUAGGCAAGGGAUUUGUCUAACCUUCCUUCCCCAAUACAAGCACAUCUCAGAAAUCCUACUUCUAUGAGUGUUACAGUCUUUUCUUUGUGAAAGGUUAGAGCACCUCCAUUUUUGAAACUCCAAUAGCUCCUAAUUAUAAGACCUCAAUAGGAGACAGACAAGAAUAAACCAUUUGCCCUGGUCUUAUCCAAGUAAGAAAACUAUUACUCUUCAUUGAUUGUUCUUAUUUACUCCUGGAUAAGUCAUACCAAAAGAAUCUAGUGAUGGCUUAUGAUAGGUAAGGCACUGAUGAUACAGAGAUUGGUAUAUGAGUGACAAAAAUGCAGAAGGUAGGGGCACCUGGGUGGCUCAGUUGGUUAAGCAUCUGCCUUCAGCUCAGGUCAUGAUCUCAGGGUCCUGGGAUUGAGCCCCACAGCAGGCUCCCUGCUCAGUAGGGAGUCUGCUUCUGCCUAUGCCACUACCCCUGCUCAUUCUUUCUCUCUCUCUCAAUUAAAUAAAAUCUUUUUAAAAAUGCAGAAAAUUACUUUAUAUGUUUCCUGUGCCUGAACAGUAGUUUCUGCCAGAUUAUCUAAUGAUAAUGCUAACAUUUACCUGGACUUCUCACUGUAGUAUCUAGAAAUAGGACUACUAAGAGUAGAAAUUAGUUUAGGGUUAUUUUAAUUAUGCUUUAAGAUGAUAUGUAAUGUUUAGAGACAUCCUCAAAUGUAAUACAUUUCCUUGAUGUUCUGAACAAUAUGUUAUUUUUAGUAACUGCCAUUUCAAGUAGGUUUUCUUUGAUUAUUUUUAUUUGAAUAAAGCAAAACUUGAGGUAAA